GACUUAGUAGUUCAGUGUGUAGCACGUUGAAGUUAGUAACACAAAGGUUCUGGGUUCGAGUCUCAGCGAAUAUC
rnacentral:tRNA from 1 species